AAGUUGCAAACACAUGGUAACUGUGUCCCUGGCAUGACAAAGCCCUGUCUACUGGGCUUUAACAUACUGAUGACAGAAGGAGAGAACAUAUGUUAAGGCAAUCAGAGAGGGAAAAUAUAAUAAUAAUGAUAACAAAUAUAACAAUCAGAUAAUAAAUAUUAUAACUAUUGUAUAAUAUAGUAUAAUAAUUAUAUAAUACUUAAUAUUCCUUUCCUAGCAGAACCUUGGAGAGCUUCAGCGUUCCAGAGCAGUGGCCAAUACAAUGCCUAGCACAAAGCAGGUGCUCAACAAACUUUUCUGCUGGCUCAGUUAAAAAUAGUGUGCCUAAUGGGAUCACAAAUUCUGGCAGCAUCUACAUGGGAACUGUAGGAAACUGCAAAGGACCGCCUGCCACAGCCCAGAGGAUUUCAAACCCAGCAUUUGAAACACAUCAUGCAACUGCUACAGCCUCUGCACACCACUGCUUCCGGUCCUCCACUACACUGCACACUAUCAGCCGCUCAUCUAGUCACUCCGUGAUCUGGCCUUGUCCUUCCAUAUGCCCAGUUGGCAUCCUGAAGGUGAGGGCUGUGACCACGCUCCCCAGUCUCCCCAGAUCCUGGUCUCACAGUGAUGGGGACCUCACUCAGCCAGCUGCUAUUGAACCAAACAGCCGGCCUGUUAACUGGCACCUUGUAAGAGAUGCUGCGGGCUGGGUACAUGUUUCCGCCCGAGGGCCAGGCUGA
rnacentral:lncRNA from 1 species